CGAGAUAUAUUAAGACCUACGAUAGAAACAUGAAAAGCAAACAUACUAGGGACUAACGUUCAGCUCACGAGGAAUCCAUAAGAAUUAGCAGUAGAGGAAACCUGCUUCAGAAGGCAAAAUUCAACAGCACAUUGUAUUACACAAAAAGAGAAACACCAGUUAAAAUCUCGACUUCGCUGACAAAAAGGAAUAGCUGGUUUCUCUAUGAAAAGGAACUGCAGUUUCCCAUGUACCAGCAGCAUAUCAAAAAAGUAGAGAAUCUACAACAUAAUAUGAUUCUCUAGGAACAACAUCAACCUUGUUGCACACUGGAACCUCAUAGUGUGCACCAAUGUACAUGGUCA
rnacentral:lncRNA from 1 species